UACGGGGGGGGUAAGCGUUGUUCGGAAUUACUGGGCGUAAAGGGCUCGUAGGCGGCCAACUAAGUCAGACGUGAAAUCCCUCAGCUUAACUGGGGAACUGCGUCUGAUACUGGAUGGCUUGGAUUCGGGAGAGGAAUGCGGAAUUCCAGGUGUAGCGGUGAAAUGCGUAGAUAUCUGGAGGAACACCGGUGGCGAAGGCGGCUCCUGGACCAGUACCGACGUCAGGCACGAAAGCGUGGGGAGCAAACAGG
rnacentral:rRNA from 1 species